rnacentral:rRNA from 1 species
GGGUUGUGAGGUUAAGCGAACAAGCGUACACGGUGGAUGCCCUGGCAGUCAGAGGCGAUGAAGGACGUGCUAAUCUGCGAAAAGCGCCGGUAAGGUGAUAUGAACCGUUAUAACCGGCGAUGUCCGAAUGGGGAAACCCGGUGCACUUCGGUGCAUCAUCGUUAGCUGAAUACAUAGGCUAACGAGGCGAACCGGGGGAACUGAAACAUCUAAGUACCCCGAGGAAAAGAAAUCAACCGAGAUUCCCCCAGUAGCGGCGAGCGAACGGGGAACAGCCCAGAGCCUGAAUCAGCUUGUGUGUCAGUGGAACGGUCUGGAAAGGCCGGCGAUACAGGGUGACAGCCCCGUACACGAAGGCACACAGGCUGUGAGCUCGAUGAGUAGGGCGGGACACGUGAUAUCCUGUCUGAAGAUGGGGGGACCAUCCUCCAAGGCUAAAUACUCCUGACUGACCGAUAGUGAACCAGUACCGUGAGGGAAAGGCGAAAAGAACCCCGGCGAGGGGAGUGAAACAGAACCUGAAACCGUGUACGUACAAGCAGUGGGAGCCUUCGUAAGAGGGUGACUGCGUACCUUUUGUAUAAUGGGUCAGCGACUUAUAUUCUGUAGCAAGGUUAACCGUAUAGGGGAGCCGAAGGGAAACCGAGUCUUAAUUGGGCGUUAAGUUGCAGGGUAUAGACCCGAAACCCGGUGAUCUAGCCAUGGGCAGGUUGAAGGUUGGGUAACACUAACUGGAGGACCGAACCGACUAAUGUUGAAAAAUUAGCGGAUGACCUGUGGCUGGGGGUGAAAGGCCAAUCAAACCGGGAGAUAGCUGGUUCUCCCCGAAAGCUAUUUAGGUAGCGCCUCGUGAACUCAUCUCCGGGGGUAGAGCACUGUUUCGGCUAGGGGGCCAUCCCGGCUUACCAACCCGAUGCAAACUGCGAAUACCGGAGAAUGUUAUCACGGGAGACACACGGCGGGUGCUAACGUCCGUCGUGAAGAGGGAAACAACCCAGACCGCCAGCUAAGGUCCCAAAGUCAUGGUUAAGUGGGAAACGAUGUGGGAAGGCCCAGACAGCCAGGAUGUUGGCUUAGAAGCAGCCAUCAUUUAAAGAAAGCGUAAUAGCUCACUGGUCGAGUCGGCCUGCGCGGAAGAUGUAACGGGGCUAAACCAUGCACCGAAGCUGCGGCAGCGACACUAUGUGUUGUUGGGUAGGGGAGCGUUCUGUAAGCCUGUGAAGGUGUGCUGUGAGGCAUGCUGGAGGUAUCAGAAGUGCGAAUGCUGACAUAAGUAACGAUAAAGCGGGUGAAAAGCCCGCUCGCCGGAAGACCAAGGGUUCCUGUCCAACGUUAAUCGGGGCAGGGUGAGUCGACCCCUAAGGCGAGGCCGAAAGGCGUAGUCGAUGGGAAACAGGUUAAUAUUCCUGUACUUGGUGUUACUGCGAAGGGGGGACGGAGAAGGCUAUGUCGGCCGGGCGACGGUUGUCCCGGUUUAAGCGUGUAGGCUGACUUUCCAGGCAAAUCCGGAAAGUUAAGGCUGAGGCGUGAUGACGAGGCACCACGGUGCUGAAGUGACAAAUGCCCUGCUUCCAGGAAAAGCCUCUAAGCAUCAGGUAACAUCAAAUCGUACCCCAAACCGACACAGGUGGUCAGGUAGAGAAUACCAAGGCGCUUGAGAGAACUCGGGUGAAGGAACUAGGCAAAAUGGUGCCGUAACUUCGGGAGAAGGCACGCUGACAUGUAGGUGAAGCCCCUGCGGGUGGAGCUGAAGUCAGUCGAAGAUACCAGCUGGCUGCAACUGUUUAUUAAAAACACAGCACUGUGCAAACACGAAAGUGGACGUAUACGGUGUGACGCCUGCCCGGUGCCGGAAGGUUAAUUGAUGGGGUUAUCGCAAGAGAAGCUCCUGAUCGAAGCCCCGGUAAACGGCGGCCGUAACUAUAACGGUCCUAAGGUAGCGAAAUUCCUUGUCGGGUAAGUUCCGACCUGCACGAAUGGCGUAAUGAUGGCCAGGCUGUCUCCACCCGAGACUCAGUGAAAUUGAACUCGCUGUGAAGAUGCAGUGUACCCGCGGCAAGACGGAAAGACCCCGUGAACCUUUACUACAGCUUGACACUGAACAUUGAGCCUUGAUGUGUAGGAUAGGUGGGAGGCUUUGAAGCGUGGACGCCAGUCUGCGUGGAGCCGACCUUGAAAUACCACCCUUUAAUGUUUGAUGUUCUAACCUGGCGCCGUGAUCCGGCGUGGGGACAGUGUCUGGUGGGUAGUUUGACUGGGGCGGUCUCCUCCCAAAGUGUAACGGAGGAGCACGAAGGUCAGCUAAUCCUGGUCGGACAUCAGGAGGUUAGUGCAAUGGCAUAAGCUGGCUUGACUGCGAGAGUGACGGCUCGAGCAGGUGCGAAAGCAGGUCAUAGUGAUCCGGUGGUUCUGUAUGGAAGGGCCAUCGCUCAACGGAUAAAAGGUACUCCGGGGAUAACAGGCUGAUACCGCCCAAGAGUUCAUAUCGACGGCGGUGUUUGGCACCUCGAUGUCGGCUCAUCACAUCCUGGGGCUGAAGUAGGUCCCAAGGGUAUGGCUGUUCGCCAUUUAAAGUGGUACGCGAGCUGGGUUUAGAACGUCGUGAGACAGUUCGGUCCCUAUCUGCCGUGGGCGCUGGAGAAUUGAGGGGGGCUGCUCCCAGUACGAGAGGACCGGAGUGGACGCAUCACUGGUGUUCGGGUUGUCAUGCCAAUGGCACUGCCCGGUAGCUAAAUGCGGAAGAGAUAAGUGCUGAAAGCAUCUAAGCACGAAACUUGCCCCGAGAUGAGUUCUCCCUGAGACUGUAAGUCUCCUGAAGGAACGUUGAAGACGACGACGUUGAUAGGCCGGGUGUGUAAGCGCAGCGAUGCGUUGAGCUAACCGGUACUAAUGAACCGUGAGGCUUAACCUUACAACGCCAAAGAAGU